GCCUGGCUGGCUUCGUGGGUAGAGCACGCGGCUCUUGAUCGUGGGGUCGUGAGUUUGAGCCCCACGCUGGGUG
rnacentral:tRNA from 1 species